AACGAACGCUGGCGGCAGGCCUAACACAUGCAAGUCGAACGCCCCGCAAGGGGAGUGGCAGACGGGUGAGUAACGCGUGGGAACGUGCCCCAAGGUACGGAACAACUCCGGGAAACUGGAGCUAAUACCGUAUGUGCCCGAAAGGGGAAAGAUUUAUCGCCUUGGGAUCGGCCCGCGUCUGAUUAGCUAGUUGGUAGGGU
rnacentral:rRNA from 1 species